rnacentral:rRNA from 1 species
GCUUACCGCCAUACCACCUUGAUGCGCCCACAUCGUCUGAUCUCGGAAGCUAAGCAGGGUCUGGCCUGGUUAGUACUUGGAUGGGAGACCGCCUGGGAAUACCAGGUGCUGUAAGCU